GAUGAACGCUAGCGGCAGGCCUAAUACAUGCAAGUCGAACGAGAUUAGUAGCAAUACUAUGAAAGUGGCGCACGGGUGCGUAACACGUAUGCAAUCUACCUUUAAUUGGAGAAUAGCCUCGAGAAAUCGGGAUUAAUACUCCAUAACAUUAUGAAAUGGCAUCAUUUUAUAAUUAAACCUCCGGGGAUUAAAGAUGAGCAUGCGCAACAUUAGCUAGUUGGUAAGGUAAUGGCUUACCAAGGCUACGAUGGUUUAGGGGGUCUGAGAGGAUGACUCCCCCACACUGGUACUGAGACACGGACCAGACUCCGUACGGGAGGCAGCAGUAGGGAAUAGUUGGGCAAUGGAGGCAACUCUGACCCAGCCAUGCCGCGUGCAGGAUGACCGGCCCUCGUGGGUUAGUAAACUGUCUUUUUAGUACGGGAAAGAAAAAGUACUACGUGUAGUAUAUUGACGGUACCGUAAGAAUAAGGAUCGGCUAACUCCGUGCCAGCAGCCGACGGUAAA
rnacentral:rRNA from 1 species